rnacentral:rRNA from 1 species
UACGGAGGAUGCAAGCGUUAUCCGGAAUCAUUGGGCGUAAAGCGUCUGCAGGUGGCUCUUCAAGUCUGCCGUCAAAACUCAGGGCUUAACCCUGAACAGGCGGUGGAAACUGAAAAGCUAGAGUGCGGUAGGGGUAGAGGGAAUUCCCGGUGUAGCGGUGAAAUGCGUAGAGAUCGGGAAGAACACCAGUGGCGAAAGCGCUCUGCUGGACCUGCACUGACACUGAGGGACGAAAGCUAGGGGAGCGAAUGGG